rnacentral:rRNA from 1 species
GAUGAACGCUGGCGGCGUGCCUAAUACAUGCAAGUAGAACGCUGAAGGAGGAGCUUGCUCUUCUGGAUGAGUUGCGAACGGGUGAGUAACGCGUAGGUAACCUGCCUGGUAGCGGGGGAUAACUAUUGGAAACGAUAGCUAAUACCGCAUGACAACAGUUAUUGCAUGAUAACUGUUUAAAAGGGGCAACUGCUCCACUACCAGAUGGACCUGCGUUGUAUUAGCUAGUUGGUGAGGUAACGGCUCACCAAGGCGACGAUACAUAGCCGACCUGAGAGGGUGAUCGGCCACACUGGGACUGAGACACGGCCCCGACCCCUACGGGAGGCAGCAGUAGGGAAUCUUCGGCAAUGGACGGAAGUCUGACCGAGCAACGCCGCGGGAGUGAAGAAGGGUUUCGGAUCGUAAAGCUCUGUUGUAAGAGAAGAACGAGUGUGAGAGUGGAAAGUUCACACUGUGACGGUAUCUUACCAGAAAGCGACGGCUAACUACGUG